AUACGGAGGGUGCAAGCGUUAUUCGGAAUCACUGGGCGUAAAGGACGCGUAGGCGGGUUGGCAAGUCAGAUGUGAAAUCCUACAGCUUAACUGUAGAACUGCAUUCGAAACUGCUAACCUAGAGUAUGGGAGGGGGAGAUGGAAUUAGUGGUGUAGGGGUAAAAUCCGUAGAUAUCACUAGGAAUACCGAAAGCGAAGGCGAUCUCCUGGAACAUAACUGACGCUAAGGCGUGAAAGCAUGGGGAGCAAACAGGAUUAGAAACCCUAGUAGUCC
rnacentral:rRNA from 1 species